rnacentral:rRNA from 1 species
AAUCAACGCUGGCGGCGUGCCUAACACAUGCAAGUCGAGCGCGAAAGCGGGGUAACUCGCAAGUAGAGCGGCGAACGGGUGAGUAACGCGUGGGUGAUCUACCUCCGAGUGGGGAAUAACACCGGGAAACUGGUGCUAAUACCGCAUGACAUCCUCGGAUCACACUGGGGAUCAAAGCCGGGGACCGCAAGGCCUGGCGCUUGGAGAGGAGCCCGCGUCCGAUUAGCAGUUGGCGGGGUAACGGCCCACCAAGGCGACGAUCGGUAGCCGGCCUGAGAGGGC